rnacentral:lncRNA from 1 species
CGAAGCAAAAAUGAGCUAAGGAAAAAGAGAAUGAGCAGAAGCUAUGAACGAGAGAUGGAGAAUGGAGAUGGCGAAGAAGACGAAAAGAGGAAAGAGGCAAAGAAGACAAGGUCUGAGUAUAAGAAGAAAGAAGAAGCUUAACAAGGAAGGAAAGAAGAGCCGUUGCGUCAAAUUCGAUUUUCGAGGUCGGCUAUAAUGAUGAAAAGACUGAGACAAUUAAGUUGACCUAAUUAAUGCCGCACAUAAGACAAAAGGAGGU